AAGGGGAUUAAAAUCUGUGUUCACAGGCUGAGAGCAGGUGUCUGUGAUGAGACCCCAUGCUGUGACAUGGAUGCAGCACAUUCUUACAUGAAAAGCCCUGGCUGAUGAAAUGACCACAGGAAGACAACAUGGAACCCUCCCAGCACUAUCAGAAGAAGCUUAAUUAAGCUCUGUGGUUAAAUUUAAAGACUUUUUGUCAGAAGCAUGGCAAGCAACUUCAGUUUGGCUUUCUAAAGUGCUGAACACCCAAAACUCCUACCAAGGCUUUCUGGAAUUACAGAGGCACAGUGGGAGCUCAAGUGGCACACAAGCUGUGAGACCCAGAGGGCCCAAGAUGGGCUUUGCCCAGGGAAAGAGAGACACAGGUACCUCAGAAUAAGCUGCAUCCUUACAAGGGUAGUAACUGUGCCAGGAGAAUAUGUUCCCAUGACUUUUAAUAAGGGGAUGGUAGAGAGAAGGUCAGUUUCAGCUCCAGAAUUCUCCUUGCCACUGCUGAUAAGCAUGCCUUGUCACAGUUUUGCUGUGAGAUUUUCUGCAUGGGGCUGUAUCUCCAGUUUCAACAUCCCUUGUCAGAGAACUGAUAUUUCAUCUUUUACAAGAUUUACAAGAAAAAGAAAUAAUAUAUGCACCACAGUGGAAAAGCAUGUCUCUGUUCAUACCUUUGCAUUUUACAGGAAAAUAUGUCAUUCCUUUCAGAUCCAUGAAUUAAGAUGCACUAUUUUUUGCUGAAGGCUAUUUUAAAUUAGGCUAAUAAAUUGCUGCUCUCUGCCUUGCGUGAUAAUGCAUUACAUUAUCUACUGAUGUACACGUAUUGUUUGACUCUAAUGGUGUGGAAAUUAAAUGUUAGACAUGGGCCAGAUGUUCCUAUAGAUGAAUAUGAAGUAUGACUCUGUCGUAGCUGAGUCUCAAUGGGACAGAAGGUAGACGGUGAGGGUUUUUGAACAACAGCAACACAAAACCUUAAGUGGGUCACUUGCAUCCACACCCAAGAUCCAGUCCUAACACUGAGCGGUUGAGCAGCAUUACCAACCUGAGCUCCACUAUUAUUCCUCAGUCAGAGCCAGUGCCUUUCUUAUUUCUAAUGCCUCAAUGCUUGUAAAGCCACAAAGAAUGGCUCAUAGAGAUGGCAAAUGCUUGCGGUCCUUGU